ACCUGCGGAAGGAUCAUUAACAGGUAUGGACACCUGCCCUAGGGCAAGUGUGCCAUAUUCAUCCUUGUGUUGUGUAUACGAGUGAUGCGUGUGCAUAUGCUUCUGUGUGUGCACGUGCACCUUUUUUUCACCCAUUAUCAUACAAUUCUGAAACAAUUUGUGGUGCUCGCAAGAGCCCACGACAACAACCGAAAACUGCCAGCAAUGGAUCACUCGGUUCUCGCAUCGAUGAAGAGCGUAGCGAAUUGCGAAAAGUAAUGUGAUUUGCAACAUUCGUGAAUCAUUGAAUCCUUGAACGCACAUUGCACCGUGUGGGCAACUGCACGGUCUGCCUGUCUGAGUAUUGACUAGAACUCUUCUCAGCCCACGGGCUGGAUGAUGGAUGCUGCACCGCCCUGUGUGGUGGCAUCUGCAAGACACGAAGCGCUGGUGUAUCCGCAAGUGCUCAUGAUCUCGAGGCAAUCUUGCCAAGCGGUUCAUGUAGUAUGCGCGUGGCAGCAGUGGACAUCAGUCAACACACUUUCUCAUGCAAUCUCAGAUCAGGUAGGAGUACCCGCUUAACUUAAGCAUAUCAGUCAGCGGAGGAAAAGAAAC
rnacentral:rRNA from 1 species